rnacentral:ncRNA from 1 species
GUUUCAGGGCGGGGUGCGAUUCCCCACCGGCGGUAAAGCCCGCGACCACCUGACAAGGUGCUGACCCGGUGUGAUUCCGGGGCCGACGGUAUAGUCCGGAUGGAAGAGA